UACGUAGGGGGCUAGCGUUGUCCGGAAUCAUUGGGCGUAAAGCGCGUGUAGGCGGCCCGGUAAGUCCGCUGUGAAAGUCGGGGGCUCAACCCUCGAAUGCCGGUGGAUACUGUCGGGCUCGAGUGCGGAAGAGGCGAGUGGAAUUCCUGGUGUAGCGGUGAAAUGCGCAGAUAUCAGGAGGAACACCUAUUGCGAAGGCAGCUCGCUGGGACGUAACUGACGCUGAGACGCGAAAGCGUGGGGAGCAAACAGG
rnacentral:rRNA from 1 species